AUACGUAGGGUGCAAGCGUUAAUCGGAAUUACUGGGCGUAAAGCGUGCGCAGGCGGUUUUGUAAGAAAGUGGUUGAAACCCCGGGCUCAACCUGGGGACUGCCAUUGUGACUGCAAGGCUGGAGUGCGGCCGAGGGGGAUGGAAUUCCGCGUGUAGCAGGGAAAUGCGUAGAUAUGCGGAGGAACACCGAUGGCGAAGGCAAUCCCCUGGGCCUGCACUGACGCUCAUGCACGAAAGCGUGGGGAGCAAACAGGAUUAGAUACCCUGGUAGUCCACGCCCUAAACGAUGUCAACUGGUUGUUGGGGAUUUAUUUUCUCAGUAACGAAGCUAACGCGUGAAGUUGACCGCCUGGGGAGUACGGCCGCAAGGUUGAAACUCAAAUGAAUGGACGGGG
rnacentral:rRNA from 1 species